rnacentral:rRNA from 1 species
AGCAGCCGCGGUAAUUCCAGCUCCAAUAGCGUAUAUUAAAGUUGUUGCAGUUAAAAAGCUCGUAGUUGAAUUUCGGAAUCAAUACGUCGGUCGUGCCACUGGUAUGAACUGGCGUCGUUGAUUUCUCCUUUCUGAGGAACCAUGAUGUCAUUAAUUUGGUGUGGUGGGAAAUCAGGACUGUUACUUUGAAAAAAUUAGAGUGUUUAAAGCAGGCCUACGCUUGAAUACAUUAGCAUGGAAUAAUGAAAUAGGACGUUCGAACCUAUUUUGUUGGUUUCUAGGAUCAACGUAAUGAUUAAUAGGGAUAGUUGGGGGCAUUAGUAUUCAAUUGUCAGAGGUGAAAUUCUUGGAUUUAUUGAAGACUAACUACUGCGAAAGCAUUUGCCAAGGAUGUUUUCAUUAAUCAAGAACGAAAGUUAGGGGAUCGAAGACGAUCAGAUACCGUCGUAGUCUUAACCAUAAACUAUGCCGACUAGGGAUCGGAUGAUGUUAAUUUUAUAAUGACUCA